GUGAAAUGCGUAGAUAUCGUAAGGAAGACCAUGGCGAAAGGCGGGUUUUUGACCAGUUCCUGACGUUGAGGCACGAAGGUCAGGGGAGCAAACGGGAUUAGAUACCCCGGUAGUCCUGACAGUAAACGGUGCACGUUUGGUGUGGGAGGAUUCGACCCCUUCUGCGCCGGAGCUAACGCGUUAAACGUGCCGCCUGGGGAGUACGGUCGCAAGAUUAAAACUCAAAGAAAUUGACGGGGGCCCGCACAAGCGGUGGAGUAUGUGGCUCAAUUCGAUGCAACGCGAAGAACCUUACCAGGCCUUGACAUGCAUUGCUAAGUUGGUGAAAGCCAGCGACUGGAGCAAUCCAGACCUUGCACAGGUGCUGCAUGGCUGUCGUCAGCUCGUGUCGUGAGAUGUUGGGUUAAGUCCCGCAACGAGCGCAACCCUCGUCUUUAGUUGCUACCAUUUAGUUGGGCACUCUAAAGAAACUGCCGGUGAUAAGCCGGAGGAAGGUGGGGAUGACGUCAAGUCCUCAUGGCCCUUACGCGCUGGGCUACACACGUGCUACAAUGGCGGUGACAGAGGGCUGCAAACCCGCGAGGGUGAGCUAAUCUCCAAAAGCCGUCUCAGUUCGGAUUGUUCUCUGCAACUCGAGAGCAUGAAGGCGGAAUCGCUAGUAAUCGCGGAUCAGCACGCCGCGGUGAAUACGUUCCCAGGCCUUGUACACACCGCCCGUCACACCAUGGGAGUUGGUUUCACCCGAAGGUGGUGCGCUAACCCGCAAGGGAGGCAGCCAACCACGGUGGGAUCAGCGACUGGGGUGAAGUCGUAACAAGGUAAAUCGAAUUCCCGCGGCC
rnacentral:rRNA from 1 species